CUGUGAUUUCGACAAAUGUGCUUUCUGACUUCGAUCUCUUUAUUCCAGAGCCAGAUUUCUUAAGAAGUGUAUUUGUAUUCACGCGUUUCUGAGGUAUUUUUUGAGAAUUUGAGCUUCGUUCAUCAUGGAUGGGUGCGGCAACUCUAAUUGCAACUGCGGUGCCGAUUGCACUUGCAGCCACUGCAAAUGUGGAAGGACACUUGCCGCACCUUCAUUUGGUGGAAACCGCAACUACAAUGUGGAGAAUGAUUGCAAGUGCGGACACAACUGCAAUUGUGCUGACUGCGACUGCCACAAGUGAAUGAAGCGAACCUCCUGGACAUUAGAGGCUUGAUUUACAUUAGAAAUUGUAAAUACGAUCUCAAAAUGACACUUUUGUGGUUUUGAGUUCUGAGAAUCCAUAGAAUCAUACGUAUUUCAGGCUUUACUUUCAGGAUUAUUAUUGGAAGUUAGUUCUAAGUACUCAUUAGAGUUAAUGAGUUUUCUGUUUCUUUUUCAACUUAGAGUAAAUAAUAUUUCUAUGUAGCAGAAUGAGUUUUAAAUAGUUGGUUAAUAGUGAUGUAAUUAUAUUUCUGCAUGUAACAGUCUUCAAAUUUGAGGUGCUCUGCAGUAGAGAACUUUUGCAGAAGGCUGUGGCUUAUGCUAAUGACAUAUUCAGCUUUUACCAUGGGAAAUAAACGCUGCUAAACAGUUGUUACUUUUUUCUAA